ACCACAGUUGAGGUAGUUAAGAAUAUGUGAUGCCUUUCGGGAAUCAUUCACUUAUUCUUCCUGCCUCACCUGUGAC
rfam:Pristionchus pacificus strain PS312 contig8545, whole genome shotgun sequence.